CGUUGUCUUUGUUACAUCAGACAUUUAUAACAAAGGUCUCUUCACAGCGUUAAAAAAUAUAUAAAUUAUAAUAAAUACCGAUCAAAACUGUGUCGAUAUUGUAUAAAUAAUAUAUGUACAUUGUAUAGUAUUUUUACAUACACGUAAUACGCUUGGGAUUCGGUUGUAUUGAGAUACCAAUAAUAAAUCUAACAUAAUACGUGUAAAACGGCGAACGGAGACUAAACUAUUGACGGAACACACUGUCCAACGCUGAAGAGGAGUAAAAAACAGUUGCAGAUAAAAUAUACACACCGCUCAGUCAGCGUCGCGGGCCAGUGGGACCGGUUCGGCGGUAUCGUCGCGAAAAUCCAACUGAGCCAGCGAUGUGUACAAUAUUCGUAGACGUACGUGGUGGCUGUCGAGUACACCGGACCUUCUUGGGAGCGAUCUGUAAUCUGAACCAUAGUUACACCCGCUCCCUUUUUUUGCUAGGACGAUUUUGGAGCUGGAGCUGCUUCUGGCGGA